rnacentral:rRNA from 1 species
UAGAUACCCUGGUAGUCCACACCGUAAACGUUGGGCGCUAGGUGUGGGACACAUUCCACGUGUUCCGUGCCGCAGCUAACGCAUUAAGCGCCCCGCCUGGGGAGUACGGCCGCAAGGCUAAAACUCAAAGGAAUUGACGGGGGCCCGCACAAGCGGCGGAGCAUGCGGAUUAAUUCGAUGCAACGCGAAGAACCUUACCUGGGUUUGACAUAUACGGGAAGCCUGCAGAGAUGUGGGUCUCAUUGAUACU